rnacentral:rRNA from 1 species
GGCUCAGGAUGAACGCUAGCGACAGGGCCUAACACAUUGCAAGCCGAGGGGCAGCACGAAGUAAGCUUGCUUACUUUGGUGGCGACCGGCGCACGGGUGCGUAACAGGUGUGCAAUCUGUCCAUAAUCGGGGAAUAGCCCAGCGAAAGUUGGAUUAAUGCUCCAUGUGAGUUUUAGAGGCAUCUCUUUAACUUGAAACGCAAGGAUUAUGGGUGAGCACGCUUCUGAUUAGGUAGUUGGUGAGGUAACGGCUCACCAAGCCGACGAUCAGUAGGGGUUCUGAGAGGAAGGUCCCCCACACUGGAACUGAGACACGGUCCAGACUCCUACGGGAGGCAGCAGUGAGGAAUAUUGGUCAAUGGGCGCAAGCCUGAACCAGCCAAGUAGCGUGAAGGAAGACUGCCCUAUGGGUUGUAAACUUCUUUAUACGGGAACAAACCCCGGUACGUGUACCGGAUUGCGUGUACCGUAUGAAUAAGCAUCGGCUAACUCCGUG